UACGAAGGGGGCUAGCGUUGUUCGGAAUCACUGGGCGUAAAGGGCGCGUAGGCGGCUUGAUAAGUCGGGGGUGAAAGCCUGUGGCUCAACCACAGAAUUGCCUUCGAUACUGUCGAGCUUGAGACCGGAAGAGGUAAGUGGAACUGCGAGUGUAGAGGUGAAAUUCGUAGAUAUUCGCAAGAACACCAGUGGCGAAGGCGGCUUUCUGGACGGUAACUGACGCUGAGACGCGAAAAGCGUGGGG
rnacentral:rRNA from 1 species